rnacentral:rRNA from 1 species
UUUUUCUAAGCUUGCUUCUCUGAUGUUAGCGGCGGACGGGUGAGUAACACGUGGAUAACCUACCUAUAAGACUGGGAUAACUUCGGGAAACCGGAGCUAAUACCGGAUAAUAUUUUGAACCGCAUGGUUCAAAAGUGAAAGACGGUCUUGCUGUCACUUAUAGAUGGAUCCGCGCUGCAUUAGCUAGUUGGUAAGGUAACGGCUUACCAAGGCAACGAUGCAUAGCCGACCUGAGAGGGUGAUCGGCCACACUGGAACUGAGACACGGUCCAGACUCCUACGGGAGGCAGCAGUAGGGAAUCUUCCGCAAUGGGCGAAAGCCUGACGGAGCAACGCCGCGUGAGUGAUGAAGGUCUUCGGAUCGUAAAACUCUGUUAUUAGGGAAGAACAUAUGUGUAAGUAACUGUGCACAUCUUGACGGUACCUAAUCAGAAAGCCACGGCUAACUACGUGCCAGCAGCCGCGGUAAUACGUAGGUGGCAAGCGUUAUCCGGAAUUAUUGGGCGUAAAGCGCGCGUAGGCGGUUUUUUAAGUCUGAUGUGAAAGCCCACGGCUCAACCGUGGAGGGUCAUUGGAAACUGGAAAACUUGAGUGCAGAAGAGGAAAGUGGAAUUCCAUGUGUAGCGGUGAAAUGCGCAGAGAUAUGGAGGAACACCAGUGGCGAAGGCGACUUUCUGGUCUGUAACUGACGCUGAUGUGCGAAAGCGUGGGGAUCAAACAGGAUUAGAUACCCUGGUAGUCCACGCCGUAAACGAUGAGUGCUAAGUGUUAGGGGGUUUCCGCCCCUUAGUGCUGCAGCUAACGCAUUAAGCACUCCGCCUGGGGAGUACGACCGCAAGGUUGAAACUCAAAGGAAUUGACGGGGACCCGCACAAGCGGUGGAGCAUGUGGUUUAAUUCGAAGCAACGCGAAGAACCUUACCAAAUCUUGACAUCCUUUGACAACUCUAGAGAUAGAGCCUUCCCCUUCGGGGGACAAAGUGACAGGUGGUGCAUGGUUGUCGUCAGCUCGUGUCGUGAGAUGUUGGGUUAAGUCCCGCAACGAGCGCAACCCUUAAGCUUAGUUGCCAUCAUUAAGUUGGGCACUCUAAGUUGACUGCCGGUGACAAACCGGAGGAAGGUGGGGAUGACGUCAAAUCAUCAUGCCCCUUAUGAUUUGGGCUACACACGUGCUACAAUGGACAAUACAAAGGGCAGCGAAACCGCGAGGUCAAGCAAAUCCCAUAAAGUUGUUCUCAGUUCGGAUUGUAGUCUGCAACUCGACUACAUGAAGCUGGAAUCGCUAGUAAUCGUAGAUCAGCAUGCUACGGUGAAUACGUUCCCGGGUCUUGUACACACCGCCCGUCACACCACGAGAGUUUGUAACACCCGAAGCCGGUGGAGUAACCUUUUAGGAGCUAGCCGUCGAAGGUGGGACAAAUGAUUGGGGUGAAGUCGUAACAAGGUAGCCGUAUCGGAAGGUGCGGCUGGAUCACCUCCUUUCUAAGGA